ensembl:lncRNA
CUGAUUCCAUACAAUUCCAAGACACCGUUUACAGACGCAGCACCCACGUACUCCAUACAUUUUAAGGUAUGGUUUACAUAUGUGUUAUAUGUCAGACUCACAAGACAAAGGUCACAAAGCCUCCACAUCCAAUAAAUAACAUUACAUUUACACUAAUAUUUUGUACUGCAACCCACCUCAACAGUAGAGCAGAUCUCAGCCCACCUGAAGUAAAUGCAAGCCUCAGACAAGCCAGGAAAAAGCAAAAAUGGGCUCCGAUGGCCUCAGGCAGUUGGUUACGGGGUUAGGGUUAGCCCUGCGGUACAAACAAACAAAGCAAAGCUAACCCAACCCCGUAAGCAAGGCAAAGCUAAAGGCAAUUUGGCUGAGAUCAAUUGUUUGCAAAGCUAAAGCCAAUUUGGGCAAGAUCAAUUGAUUGCAAAGCUAAAGCCAAUUUGGGCAAGAUCAAUUGACUGCACCUGCCAAAAUCGGCGCAACUCUCAGAAUGGCCACAAAGGGGCGCGAGUCUCAGACUGGCCGGGAAGGAGCGCAAAUGGGCUCCGAUGGCCUCGGGCGUUGCCAAUUUGGUUGAGACAAAUUAUUUGUAAAGCUAAAGCCAAUUGGGUUGAUGCAAAAUGACUGCACACGCUGAAAUCAGUGUGACUCUCAGCAUGGCCGUGAGUCUCAAACAGCCUGGAUGGAGUGCAAAUGGUCUCUGUCCAGCUACAGGAUGUCAGUUACAGGAUUAUGGUCAGCCACGCUAGCACACUCAAAGCAGUGACCCAACCCCAUGAUUGAGGCAAAGCCUUGGAUGUGCUAUCCCUUGAAAUUCUCUCAAAGAUUGCAGCCGGCUACUUGGACGGGUACAUUGCUUGCUAGAUGAAGAAGUAGCUGAACCGGCUGGCCUAAUGAGUGCUGCUCCAUUGUGUUAAAAGCAGCUGGUAUGCCAUCCUGAGUGCUCUUCAGGCCUGUUCUGUCCAAUAUCUUCAUUGAAGACCUGCCUGAGGGCAUGGAGUGCACCUUUGGUAAGUUUGCUGAGGGCAUUGCAUCAGAUUAGCACUAUGUUUGGAGUUCAGAGCUCAUUAGGGUUGGGGUGAAGGUAUUGGGGUUAGCUUUAUUAGGGUUAUGCUCAAAGGGACUGUUAGG